UAAAAAAUAACUCGUCUCACUUUCUCCCUCUUCCCGAAAUCUAGUUGAGUGUUGCAAUGGAAUUUAUAUUUCCAUAUUUAAAUGCCAUCACAGCAGGACUUAUUGCCAUACUUGUGUUCGCCUACCGUAUACAAAGGAGGGCUACAGCCGCCAAGAAACAUCAAGCGCCCUAAGCCGCUGGUGCGUGGCCCAUAAUUGGUCAUCUCCCUUUGUUAACAGGAUCCUAAGUUCCCCACACAUCGUUGGGAGCUUUAGCUGACAAGUUCGGACCAAUCAUCACCAUUCAGAUUGGGAUACACCAAGCCUUGGUGGCGAGCUCUUGGGAAUUGGCUAAGGAAAUUUUCACUACCAACGGUAUAGCCGUGUCUGGCCGCCCUAAUUUCACUGCGAUAAAGUACCUGGGCUACAAGUAGGGACGGAGGGAGCAUGGGGCCGAGGGAAACUGGGCCCCCAUAAAAUUUUUAAAAAUUUUGAGAGUAAAUUGGUAAUUUACUAUUUAACUCUAAAAAUCUUUUGUAAACAGCAUCAGCACUCCUCCUUUCUCCGUUCUCCUCCCUGCUGCUGCUGACAAAAGAAUUCCCUAUUUACAAUUUCUCUCUUCACCUCCGCUCUACUCCUUUUUUCAAUUUUACUCCACAAUUUCUCAAAUCAUUUGCUUUUGUCUAGCUCUAUAUAUAUGGAGCGAUUUUUUAAAAGAAAAUCAAACACUGCAUAAUCAUCAUCAUCAAUCAAUCAACCUUUUCAACCAGCACCACCUAAGUAGGUGAUUGUUGAGGAAGUUGAGGUCAAUAUAGAAAACAUUUCUUCUGAUCCAGGACUGCGACCUAACAUAAUGAGAUAUCCACCUGAUAUUAGGAAUCAAGUACAUAUAGCUUACUUACUUAAAGGUCCAUGUCAACCACGCCAUUAUAAAUUUCCUCAAAAGGUAGAUGGACCUCGAAAACAGAGAUUUAUUGCAUCUUGAUUUAAUGAAUUCAUUAGUUGGUUAGAAUAUAGUAUUGAAAAAGAUGCUGCAUAUUGUUUAUAUUGUUAUCUUUUUGCAACUGGGCAUAGUGAAAGAGGUCAUAAUACUUUUGUAUUUGAAGGUUUUACUAAUUGGCGAAAGAAAGAAAGAUUGAGAGAACAUGUAGGAGACUAUAAUAGUGAUCAUAAUAAAUGUCGGUUAGCUUGUGAAGAUUUGAUGAA